AUUGAACGCUGGCGGCAGGCCUAACACAUGCAAGUCGAACGGUAACAGGAAGAAGCUUGCUUCUUUGCUGACGAGUGGCGGACGGGUGAGUAAUGUCUGGGAAACUGCCUGAUGGAGGGGGAUAACUACUGGAAACGGUAGCUAAUACCGCAUAACGUCGCAAGACCAAAGAGGGGGACCUUCGGGCCUCUUGCCAUCGGAUGUGCCCAGAUGGGAUUAGCUAGUAGGUGGGGUAACGGCUCACCUAGGCGACGAUUCCUAGCUGGUCUGAGAGGAUGACCAGCCACACUGGAACUGAGACACGGUCCAGACUCCUACGGGAGGCAGCAGUGGGGAAUACUGCACAAUGGGCGCAAGCCUGAUGCAGCCAUGCCGCGUGUAUGAAGAAGGCCUUCGGGUUGUAAAGUACUUUCAGCGGGGAGGAAGGGAGUAAAGUUAAUACCUUUGCCCAUUGACGUUACCCGCAGAAGAAGCACCGGCUAACUCCGUG
rnacentral:rRNA from 1 species